AUGACCUGCCAGAAGUUCAUCGAUUUUCAAGCCACCCUGAAGUCAACUCGUGUGACAACAAUUCAUGCGUUCAUUGGUCGAAAAUGUUAUAUUCUAUCCAAUAUUGAUUUACAUGAGUCAAUAGAAAUCUAACAUAAUUUAAAUUUAAUAUAUAAUUGGUAAAAACAUAACCUCUUUUCACAUGUUACUAUAUUAUUCUAGAUGAGACAAAGAGUGAUUGGACAGAAUUAUUAUUAUCAUAUUGGAAUAAAAUAUUCAAUGGAAAGAAAUAUUUAUUGGUCUCUAUAAAUUGAUAUAAUCUUUUGAUCUGCAAUCCGUGUCUUGGAUCAUAGAUGCAUCGCAUAUUUGAAUUCCCAAAACAUCGAUGCAACAAUUUUCUCUGUGAUACUCAAUAUAUAUAUUCUGUGAUACUGAAUAUAUAUAUAUAUUACAGUGUCGACUCACGAACAGAACUCUUUGUUCUCUUUCGUAUAAAAUUCUGAGCGAUCCCCAGGGUACUUUGCCGAUCAGUUCACUGCUUACUUUCGAAUGUAUUCACUAGGGAGUUUCGCGUUAUAUUUUCCAUUCUCGAUAGCGGAAGCGUCGGUGUGCUUUGAUCUGACGAGCGACAGCACUAGCUUUUAAGCUUGUAAAAGUAACAAGCAGAUGGUUAAGAUAGCAAUAAUUUAAUUUUCGAUAUUGUAAGCCUUUUGUAUGCGUGUCUGUUCUUGUUUUUGUAGGUUAUAUUUUUAUAAAUUCAAAAUAUAUGUAUAAUAUAUAAAAAAGUUCGAAUGAAGAUUAAUUGAAGAAUUAUAUUUCAUUUAUAAAAAGUUUUUAUUAUUAUUUUUAUAUGAUUUGAAAUAUAUAUAAUUUAUUGAUAAGUCAGAUAGUUAACAGAUUGUGUAUUCUUUGGGAAAGUACAAAUUCUCAAAGCGGAGAAACGGUUCCCUUCAAAUCGAUUGAGAAUUAAUCCGACUGCUAUCACGUUUCGCAAACGUCACUCCAUUGUCUCAUUGUCCAUUGGAGUGAGAGAUAGCGAUGGAGCAGUAGAGAACGAGAGAUGACUUUCCUUCGUUCCUAUCUUGCCUCCUUUUGAGAUCCCGUCUCGAUCCUAUUGGAGGCCAGGGGGAUUCUCUGUUCUUCUAUGGGCAACUAAUGCCACUGGACGAGAAUUGAAACUAUGACCUGUAUCCAUGACUCAUUUCACCGAUUGCUUUUAUCACUUUUUCUAUAUUUAUUAUUAAAGUUUUCUACAUCAUUAAAGUUUCAAUCGAAAAAAUGCAUAGAAUGUGUAGUAAAAUAAGAAAAGAGAAAAAAAAGAUGAUAAAAAAUAUCUUCUAUGAAUCUCGAUGAAAUGGCUUCUUGAUUGAAUUCUCGUUUGCCUGCCUCUCGUUCUUCGGUCAACUCGAUUUGAUCGGCUGUUAUCAGUAAAACAUUAAACGGACAAAGAACAGAACAUGGCUACAGACUAUAGAUCAGAUCGUUCUCGAUGAUCAGGGUACAUGGAGAUUCCUCGGAUAUAUCUGCGUCGCUGAAAAAGGGCGUCAUGCAUGGCUCGCACUAGGGUGUCAUCUGCACCCUCUACAACAUGAGCAGUUCUGUAGAUGAUCUUCACGGUCAAUAUAACGGAUGUCGUAAAAUCAAUUAGUGGCGAAUUGUGCCGCAGCCCGGAUCGUAUGCAUUGUAUAUGCAGCUCAUAAAAUUUCUUUUUUUUUUUUUUGUGAUCUUUUUGAAUUACUUUAUGUUCCUCGCAUCAGUUCCAAUCGAUAAUCAUUUCUUAUCAAAGUACAAUUUUAAAAUUUAUCUUCUACAAUAUUAUACUUUGUUAAAUUUCUCAUUUGCAAUAGAAAUAUAAUAUUGGUAUGUUAUAGAUUAUAUUUCUGUAAGUCGCUUUUAUAUCAUUCCGACAAUAGCUUAGUUAAUGUUGACUUUUGAAUGGUCCAAUCUUAGAAAGAGCCUUUUAGCGUGUUUCAGCAUGCAGUAAAUAUUAUUAGAUAGAUACUGUUACGGAUGUUUCUCAGUGAAUUGAUGAGAUUGUCAGUUCAUUUCUUUUGCCUUUCUUUCAUUUUCUUUCUUUUUUUCUUCCAGGAAACCAUCCCCGCAUAGUAAGACUCCAACGACAUCCUGACAAAUCUUUGGGGUCGACAUCGUAACCGAUUGAAAGAAUUUUCCGUGACGACUCGUUCAUUGUGCGUGUUUAGCUAAGCGAUUUUCUCGUUGUAGAAAGGUCGAAAUAUCUCUCAGAAAUACAAUAGAAAACUUGUAACAAAAAUCAUAGAAGCAAACAUUUUAAAGGGAAAUUUAUGUUAUUCAUGGAUAGUAACAACGAUUCAGAUCUCAGUAAAUUGUACAAGUUUUUAUCAUCCGAGAGACGUAUAUCUAUGAAAAAGAGAAAUAGUCCACAUAAAACUUUAACGUCCUUUGUGCGAACGUCACCCGUUACAACGCAACGUUGCUUUGGCUAAGAGCCGGUAAAAGUCGAAAUGAAGGAAGUUCUCCUCUGAAUUCUAUUUCCUUCGUCAAGCGGUUUGCAGCCUUGCCUAUCUGUUUUCUCUUCACUUCUCACCCUUCUAUCUUUUCUCUUCCUCACAGCUUCUCUUCCUUACUACCUAGAUAAUUUAACCAUUUCCAGCAAUAAAUCAAGUAAUUUUCACUUAUAUUUCACAAGCAUAGUGAUUUUAUGUAACCUGUGCAAAUUAUUUCUUCUAAAUUGUUUUAUUAACUUUGCUAACAUAUAAUGAUAUUAACUAACUUCUUAAUAAUUUUAAUUAUAGUUUAAAAUACUUUCUGCUUAUUCAUAUUUUAAUUUUUAUACUGUACUUAUAGGUUAUCUUGAUAUAUUAUUUCACUAAUCUGUGACAAUUAAUCCAAAACAUGGGAGUAAUAGGAAGAAACCGAAGGGAAGACGCACAUAUGAAAUUCUUCAGCAAAGUUCGAGGAAUGAAAGAAAAGGCUCUCCUUGUGGCUACAACUCACAACUUACAAUUCGGUGGCUACGAAACGGCUACACCCUUUCAUGAACGCGCGGUUCAACCACUCGUGACCCGACCAACUUCGCCCCAAGUGGGAAAAAUGUUUCAAUCUAUGAAAAUGAACCAAUAUCCAGUUUUUUGUACAAGAAAUUGAAGAAUUUUUUAAAUAAAAUAUGAAAAGGAAAAUACAUAAAAUUAACGAACAAUAAAUUUUGAUCAUUCGGCCUUUGU